UACGUAGGGGGCAAGCGUUGUCCGGAUUUAUUGGGCGUAAAGAGCGUGUAGGCGGCCAGACAGGUCCGUUGUGAAAACUCGAGGCUCAACCUCGAGACGCCGAUGGAAACCGUCUGGCUAGAGUCCGGAAGAGGAGAGUGGAAUUCCUGGUGUAGCGGUGGAAUGCGUAGAGAUCCGGAAGAACACCAGUGGCGAAGGCGGCCCGCUGGGCAGUGGCUGACGCUGAGGCGCGACAGCGUGGGGAGCAAACAGG
rnacentral:rRNA from 1 species